rnacentral:rRNA from 1 species
AUGGUUUCUCUUGCAAGUUUGUGUGGGUGCCGCAUCAAAAAAACACAUGAAGACAUUCUUGACAUUAGGAAGACUUUCCUGUAUACCUGUGCAACUAGUGAUCUGUUUGAUGUUGACUUUCGUGGUUUGUUUGGCAUCGAACCCUAUACUAAGUGGCUGGAUCUUGAUGAGCAUGACUACAUGAUCUUUGGCAGCCAGUUCUCGGAGCUUUCUGGUGUUAUUAAGGGGCGGUUGGGAGCUCUGAAAGGUUCUAUGGCUUCUUGUGCAGAGAGCCCCUCUACACAAAAGAAUCCCAUUGUGGAAUUGAUAGACAGCGAUGAUGAUGCGUUUGACAAGAUUGCUGGCAUGGGAAGAGUCACCAGGAGCACUGCUGCUGCCAAGGGUUUAUCCCCACUUGCUGGAAUAGUGGCCCGUAGAGCUGGUGGUGCUAGGAAGGAUCCUGCUUUGGAUUCUGGCAAUGUUACAAGCACGAAGCAUGCACCCAGAGCUCCUAUAAAGUUUUGCUCCCUUGUGCAGCAACUUCACCCUCAUAAAUUCUCUCACCUGGAGAAGGCUCGCAAGUUGUAUAAUCUGUUGCUUAGCGAUGAAGCAUGUGAGAAGUAUGCCGAGAAUACAUUCUCAAUGAUACCUCAGCCCGAUGAUAGCGUAACCAGCUUCACUGGGAAACGCAUCUGGGAAGUUUUUGCACCUGGGCAAAUGAUGGAGGGUGAUGUAAUGGACUUCAUCAUUGAUGAUUGGAAAAAAGAUCCCGGUAGAAAUGUUGAUUUUGCGUCUGGGAAAAGGGUAUUGCUGAGUCCAUAUUUCAUCACGGUUGUGCUUGACUGUACGUUUUACGGUGAUGAAAAUAAAUAG